rnacentral:lncRNA from 1 species
AAAUGACCUGCAGGAGGAAAAGUAGCACACAUGGCUGUGGAAUGUAAAGGGGUUCUUCCUGCUAUCCUGCUUGGGCUGACUUCAUUCUGCUACCCUGCCAGGAUGCCACUCGUCUCUCCAGUUGUCUUCCUGCACCACGGGAGGAUGGAACACCAAACUUCAGAGUCUGACAGGGGAAAGGUAGUGGAGGGUGAGCAGAUGACAGUGCAGAGUCCUUCUCUGCCCCAGCUGCAGAAUGAGGGAUCUGGAGUGGAGCAGUUCCACUCUCUGUUGGCUCCUGUUAAUUGGGACGCAGCUUUGAACUCAGUGCUUGUGCCUCAGGCCUAUGUGCUAUUAUUUCAGCCUUCCACAACACACAGACCUGGAAUGCGUGCUGUCAAUCUGUAUUCAUGCCAACCAAGUGCAAACAGAGCAAACUGCCUGAGAGCAGGGAAGGACACUGAUGUCUGCAAGGACACCAGGCACUGUGUGGCAGCUUCACCUGCUCUGCACAGACUUCCCCACUGAAGAGAAAAUGUCACCCCUUGGUUCCACUUCAACCUGCAAGAAAUGAGAUUUCCCAAGCCACUAGCCAACUGCGUCAUAACUAGGAGCAGUGGUGGGUUCAUCUCUUCUUUAGCAUCUUUAGCAUCUAUUUUCUAAAUACAACAUUGCUCAGUCCUUCUCACACAAGACCUCUUGCUAACUUCCGUUUUUUCCCCCUUAAAUAAAUCUUGCCAUUCAAAAUCA